rnacentral:tRNA from 1 species
UCGCGCGGCUCGCCGAGGCGGCGGACGACCUGGGGCUCAUGCCCGCGGUUCUCACGUUCGAUCCGCAUCCGCGCGAG